rnacentral:rRNA from 1 species
GAUGAACGCUGGCGGCGUGCCUAAUACAUGCAAGUCGAGCGAACAGACGAGGAGCUUGCUCCUCUGACGUUAGCGGCGGACGGGUGAGUAACACGUGGAUAACCUCCCUUUAAGACUGGGAUAACUUCGGGAAACCGGAUCUAAUACCGGAUAAUAUAUUGAACCGCAUGGUUCAAUGGUGAAAGACGGUUUUGCGGUAUCUAUUAGAUGCUUCCGCGCCGCAUUAGCUAGUUGGUAAGGUAACGGCUUACCAAGGCAACGAUGCGUAGCCGACCUGAGAGGGUGAUCGGCCACACUGGAACUGAGACACGGUCCAGACUCCUACGGGAGGCAGCAGUAGGGAAUCUUCCGCAAUGGGCGAAAGCUUGACGGAGCAACGCCGCGUGAGUGAUGAAGGUCUUCGGAGCGUAAAACUCUGUUAUUAGGGAAGAACAAAUGUGUAAGUAACUAUGCACGUCUUGACGGUACCUAAUCAGAAAGCCACGGCUAACUACGUG